CUCGAGUCAAAACAAUAUUCCACUGCCUUUGGCUUAUAAAUUUGGCUUCAUUUUGCCUACCUUCAAACACAACCUCAUCAUCAACUCAACUAGCUAAAAGCUUAAUUAGAAGCUCUACCUUCACCGACACAUAUAUUUUUGCUUACAAAAACAGCAAAAUUUAGCAACACCAAAACCAAUAGCUACCUACUUUGGCAAGAAUUAAUUAACUAUCACAUACAUAGUGCUCAGAAAGAGAGAGCCAGGAGGGGUGGUCGUCAAGAACUGAGGAUGAUAGCAGUGGCAAUCAUGGCGGAGCUGUUGGAAGAAUAUGUGGUGGCUCUGGCAAGAAUUACAGAGAGGUUUUUGCCACCAAGACACGGCAUGAAUGGUUUUCAAGGUCUCAGGAAUUUUCGUUUGCCUUCUUCUUCUUCUGCCACUCUUGAUCAAGGCUCAUGUUCUUUCAUUGUUUAUAUCUGAUUGAUGCCUGCCUACCUAUCUCUCUCUCUCUCUCUCUAUCUCUUUUCUUCUUCUUCUUCUUCUUCUUCAUUUAUUUAUUUUUUGAAUUAAAUUAAUUGAUACAUGAGAUUAUUUUUCCUUUUCCUCUUUCAUGUCGUUUUUGUUACUUAUAAGGCUUCAAAAUUUUAUGAAUUUUUGUAGUUUAUUUUACGAGGGAUAAUGCAUUUAUUUGUGGCCCAGAAGAUUGUAAUGUAAUUUAAAAAAAAAAAAAAUUAUUGCGUCCCUACAGUGGAUGAGAAUGGACAAGUAGCACAUUGAUUUAUGUGUGUGUGUUUGUGUUUUCUUUGUGGGGUUCUUGUUGUUAGAUGAGUAAAGCGAGUAGGAGCGAGUAGCUGCAGCAGCGCAUCAACAAAUAGAAGAGAAAGAAAACGAAGAGCUGAGUUGUGAAUUUAAUAAAUGAAGAAAUUCAGAAAUAAACUAACUCAUUAUGCAAACGCUUACGUACAUGCAUAGAUAUAAUAAAGAUUAUUCUCCAAUGAAGAAGAUGGAUUUAGUUUUUAUAUAUAGAGAAGCUCAGCUCAUCCAAUGAUAUUUUAUAUGUAAAAUCAAAAAAAUACGCGCGC
rnacentral:lncRNA from 1 species